CCGUCACCCCCGGCCCGUUCUCCUUCGCGUAGUCUAAUUCCCCACCUCCAUGACGAACUCCACCUUGAGAUCAGGCAGGGACGGUGGAGCGGCCGCCGUGGCCUGGCCGAGCUCGGAGGCCCGGAUGCUGGCGAGGUCGGGUUGGGUCCAUCCCCAAUCAAUCCAUUGUGCGGCAGCAGGGAUUUGGCUCUCUUGCCGGCGGCAAUGAGCUGCAUGCUGUCGAGGGCGCCGGUCGGCAGGGUCGUCUUCCCGAUGGGCCUUCUAAUGGGCGCGCUGGAGAGGUGGGUCUGUCGGGCCGUGAAGCCGCCGCUAUUGAACAGAACCCCUAACUAUAUAUGAUUGCACCAUGCACAAUAAAAAAGAAGGCGUGGCUCAGUAUGAACAAAUCCUGAUGAAGGAAGAGGAGCUGUACGACCUCAUGUCUGACUUCCAUAGCAAGUUCAGGAUUACCGGGAGCAGAGGCUGGCGGAAUAGUGAGCUUCUGCACAGCCUUUCUGCACAAGUUGAGCCUAGACAUGAUGAUUCUCACUGGCGCCUGAAUCGAAGAUGUCAAAGCUACCGUCGUUUUUUCACGAUUCUGGGGGCGAUUUAUUUCCUCAAGGUGUUUCCUAUGGGCUUGGGUUGGCUGAUGGGAUACCCUGAACCAACUGAUUUACCCUUGGCCUGGUUCAAGAAGUCAAAUCAAUGAAGUCAACAUCUCUUGUCUGGCAGUUGCAAAAAAUAAAAAAAAAUCAUAUCGUGUCGGUCGACUAGCUUUCCAGCUGCAAGCAGGAUGUGUUUCGCAAAACUAGCUAGAAAUUAAUGCUUAUCUGUGCUGGCAUGCACUUAAUUUGAGCAUGUAUGAAGGUCAUUAGUACUGCUCUUAUAUAUAUGAUCCUUGGUCGCUUCGUCAGACCUAGUCAUGAUCGAUCUGGUUGUGAGUGAGUUAAGUUAGCAGAGUUGGUUUAUUUUAAUUUGGUGUCUUCCUCUUGUGUUAUGCUAGGUGAUAUUAUGUCUUCGUGUGCUUGCUUGCUGGUAUAACAAUUGUAUGGCAUGUUACAAAUAUUGAUCAUCUGUUUAUGUUUUUCUGACCA